UUCCGUAGGGGGAACCUGCGGAGGGAUCAUUACUGAGUUACCGCUCUAUAACCCUUUGUGAACGUACCUAACCGUUGCUUCGGCGGGCAGGGGAAGCCUCUCGCGGGCCUCCCCUCCCGGCGCCGGCCCCCACCACGGGGACGGGGCGCCCGCCGGAGGAAACCAAACUCUAUUUACACGACGUCUCUUCUGAGUGGCACAAGCAAAUAAUUAAAACUUUUAACAACGGAUCUCUUGGUUCUGGCAUCGAUGAAGAACGCAGCGAAAUGCGAUAAGUAAUGUGAAUUGCAGAAUUCAGUGAAUCAUCGAAUCUUUGAACGCACAUUGCGCUCGCCAGCAUUCUGGCGAGCAUGCCUGUUCGAGCGUCAUUUCAACCCUCAAGCACCGCUUGGUUUUGGGGCCCCACGGCCGACGUGGGCCCUUAAAGGUAGUGGCGGACCCUCCCGGAGCCUCCUUUGCGUAGUAACUAACGUCUCGCACUGGGAUCCGGAGGGACUCUUGCCGUUAAACCCCCAAAUUCUUACAGGUGACCUCGGAUCAGGUAGGAAUACCCGAUGAACUUAAGCAUAUCAAUAAGCCGGAGGAA
rnacentral:rRNA from 1 species